rnacentral:tRNA from 1 species
AGGCAUGUAGCUCAGUGGUAGAGCACUUGCCUGGCAUAUGCAAAACUCUGGGAUUGAACCCCAGCAUGGCAG